UACAGAGGGUGCGAGCGUUAAUCGGAAUUACUGGGCGUAAAGGGCGCGUAGGCGGUUUAAUAAGAUAGAUGUGAAAUCCCUGGGCUUAACCUAGGAACUGCAUCUGUGACUGUUAGACUGGAGUAUUGUAGAGGGUAGUGGAAUUUCCGGUGUAGCGGUGAAAUGCGUAGAGAUCGGAAGGAACACCAGUGGCGAAGGCGGCUACCUGGACAAAUACUGACGCUGAGGCGCGAGAGCGUGGGGAGCAAACAGG
rnacentral:rRNA from 1 species